rnacentral:rRNA from 1 species
UACGUAGGGCGCAAGCGUUGUCCGGAAUUAUUGGGCGUAAAGAGCUCGUAGGCGGUCUGUCGCGUCUGCCGUGAAAACCCGAGGCUUAACCUCGGGCUGGCGGUGGAUACGGGCAGACUAGAGGUAGGUAGGGGAGAAUGGAAUUCCCGGUGUAGCGGUGAAAUGCGCAGAUAUCGGGAGGAACACCGGUGGCGAAGGCGGUUCUCUGGACCUUACCUGACGCUGAGGAGCGAAAGCGUGGGGAGC